rnacentral:lncRNA from 1 species
GGUUCGUUACCGUGAACGCAUCACCAUUCUUCGAGGGAAUCAUGAGAGCAGACAGAUCACACAAGUUUAUGGUUUCUAUGAUGAAUGUUUAAGAAAAUAUGGAAAUGCAAAUGUUUGGAAAUAUUUUACAGAUCUUUUUGACUAUCUUCCUCUCACUGCCUUGGUGGAUGGGCAGAUCUUCUGUCUACAUGGUGGUCUCUCGCCAUCUAUAGAUACACUGGAUCAUAUCAGAGCACUUGAUCGCCUACAAGAAGUUCCCCAUGAGUAGGGUCCAAUGUGUGACUUGCUGUGGUCAGAUCCAGAUGACCGUGGUGGUUGGGGUAUAUCUCCUCGAGGAGCUGGUUACACCUUUGGGCAAGAUAUUUCUGAGACAUUUAAUCAUGCCAAUGGCCUCACGUUGGUGUCUAGAGCUCACCAGCUAGUGAUGGAGGUAUG